AACGCUGAGGUGUGAUGACGAGGCACUACGGUGCUGAAGUAACAAAUGCCCUGCUUCCAGGAAAAGCCUCUAAGCAUCAGGUAACACGAAAUCGUACCCCAAACCGACACAGGUGGUCAGGUAGAGAAUACCAAGGCGCUUGAGAGAACUCGGGUGAAGGAACUAGGCAAAAUGGUGCCGUAACUUCGGGAGAAGGCACGCUGAUAUGUAGGUGAAGUGAUUUACUCAUGGAGCUGAAAUCAGUCGAAGAUACCAGCUGGCUGCAACUGUUUAUUAAAAACACAGCACUGUGCAAACACGAAAGUGGACGUAUACGGUGUGACGCCUGCCCGGUGCCGGAAGGUUAAUUGAUGGGGUUAUCCGUAAGGAGAAGCUCUUGAUCGAAGCCCCGGUAAACGGCGGCCGUAACUAUAACGGUCCUAAGGUAGCGAAAUUCCUUGUCGGGUAAGUUCCGACCUGCACGAAUGGCGUAAUGAUGGCCAGGCUGUCUCCACCCGAGACUCAGUGAAAUUGAACUCGCUGUGAAGAUGCAGUGUACCCGCGGCAAGACGGAAAGACCCCGUGAACCUUUACUAUAGCUUGACACUGAACACUGGUCCUUGAUGUGUAGGAUAGGUGGGAGGCUUUGAAGUGUGGACGCCAGUCUGCAUGGAGCCAUCCUUGAAAUACCACCCUUUAAUGGCUGGUGUUCUAACGUGGACCCGUGAUCCGGGUUGCGGACAGUGUCUGGUGGGUAGUUUGACUGGGGCGGUCUCCUCCUAAAGAGUAACGGAGGAGCACGAAGGUUAGCUAAUCCUGGUCGGACAUCAGGAGGUUAGUGCAAAGGCAUAAGCUAGCUUGACUGCGAGAGUGACGGCUCGAGCAGGUGCGAAAGCAGGUCUUAGUGAUCCGGUGGUUCUGAAUGGAAGGGCCAUCGCUCAACGGAUAAAAGGUACUCCGGGGAUAACAGGCUGAUACCGCCCAAGAGUUCAUAUCGACGGCGGUGUUUGGCACCUCGAUGUCGGCUCAUCACAUCCUGGGGCUGAAGUAGGUCCCAAGGGUAUGGCUGUUCGCCAUUUAAAGUGGUACGCGAGCUGGGUUUAGAACGUCGUGAGACAGUUCGGUCCCUAUCUGCCGUG
rnacentral:rRNA from 1 species